CGAUUUGCACGAGACUACCUCAUGGGUCCAUCCUGCAACCAACAAAUCUGCCAAGUCUGGGUUGUUGUACGAUCCAGAUCUCCCUAGUGGCUGGGAAUGGAGUAUUACCCCAGAAGGUGUUGUUUAUUAUGUGGAUCACAAUUCACAGAGGACUACAUUUAUUCACCCACUGACCAGACGUACAGCUCCCCCGUUUAAUGACUCCACUCAAAGGU
rnacentral:lncRNA from 1 species